rnacentral:rRNA from 1 species
GACGAAGGAUCCAAGCGUUAUCCGGAUUCAUUGGGUUUAAAGGGAGCGUAGGCGGGUUUCUAAGUCAGGUGUUUAAUCCCGGGGCCCAACCCCGGACAGGCACUUGAAACUGGGAAUCUUGAAUAGUGGAGAGGUCAGUGGAAUUGGGGGUGUAGCGGUGGAAUGCGUAGAGAUCCCCAAGAACACCAGUUGCGAAGGCGGCUGACUGGACACAUAUUGACGCUGAGGCUCGAAAGCAUGGGGAGCAAACAGG